AAAAAAAAAAAAAAAAUGCAAAGAAACACAGACUCAUCCCUUGGCAUGUAAGUGUGCUGUAUGCACAUAGCACAGCUUAUCUAUUACCAUAUUAGGCAUGGGUGCAGUCCAGAUCCAGGCUGGAACUGGACCCAGACUAGCGGUUCUGGUCCUAAGGGCUGGGAACCAGGGACCGGACAGAAGGUUCCCCCUCGGUUCUGGUUCGGUUCAAUCCGGUUUGAUCAAAUUGACAUUCAAUUUUUUUUUUUAAAGUGAAAUUAUUCUUCACGCGCUAAACUAACCGAAACAAAAUGUGGGGCAGUGGUACUGCUGAUGCUGAUUGCGAAAAGUCAUAAGAAAUCACAUAACAAUUCUCAGCUGUGUAGGCAUUAGCAAAUACAGAAACCUGCUCACAAAAACAAGAAAAGAUUUACAACCAUCAAUCUCCUUGGACAAACACAACAAACUCUUACCUUCUUUUCUUCCCUUCUCGCUAAGAAAAAUGGCCGAGGCUGUUGUUUCUGUGGCUGUUCAAAAAAUUUCUGAUUUGCUCAUUCAAGAAUCAGUUUUUCUGCAUGGUGUGCGGGAUGAAGUCCAACGCUUGCAAUCUGAACUCAAGCGGAUGCAGUGCUUCUUGAAAGAUGCAGACCGACAUCAAGAUCAAGAUGACCGCGUUCGGAACUGGGUAGCUGAAAUCAGAGAC
rnacentral:misc_RNA from 1 species